rnacentral:ncRNA from 1 species
AGCCGGUUGCGCUGUUUCUUAUACUUUCCAUUAAGCCUCAGAUAGGCGGGUACACGGAUGUACCCGCCAGUGAGGCCGUGCCAAGGAGGGCACGUCCGAACGGUGUCGUCCGUUAUCAAAAAUCAUAUGGAAAGUAUUAGAAACAGCCAACC